rnacentral:misc_RNA from 1 species
UAAAAUUUUGAUAAUAAGGUGCAGAUGCAUGAAGUUGAAUUUCAUCUUAAUAAAAUUCUAGUCAUGGUGUCUGAGGAGUCUUGGUCUUUUGAAAGGUGAAUACUUAUAUAUUUAAUGCUUCUUUUGGUUCCUUUAUGGGUGCUCACUGCUCACUUUAAAAAUUACCUAUUACUACAUUGAUGGAGAAUUUGUUUGUUGGAUUUUAAGAAAUUUGAAAAUUUUUUCUCUAUUGUUACUCUAUAUAUAGAUCUGUUUAUGUUCUCUUGUUUAAGCCGUAGAUUGUAUGAACGAUUUCAAAUGGGAUAGAGCUGUAGAGGUGGUCCUUAUUUGUGUUGCUAGUUGGUAUCAAAAACAUUAACUGAUCCAUCUCAGUAGGGUUUGGAAAUAGUGGAAAAUUAUUUAUUUGAUUUUUUAGACUGAUGUUGCUUUUUCUUAUUAUAAAAGCUCAACAUAAAAUUGCUGGAACCCUCCAAAUUCUCUGUUUUUGAGUUCUUAUCUUUGUGGUGCAUUACAGGCAAGAGGGUUGAAGAAACACUUGAAGAGGCUUAAUGCCCCAAAACAUUGGAUGCUUGACAAACUUGGCGGUGCAUUUGCCCCAAAGCCAUCAUCUGGUCCUCACAAGUCAAGGGAAUGUUUGCCUUUGAUCCUUAUUUUGCGGAAUAGGCUGAAGUAUGCUCUUACAUAUCGUGAAGUUAUUGCUAUUUUGAUGCAGCGGCAUGUUCUUGUUGAUGGGAAAGUUAGGACAGAUAAAACAUACCCUUCUGGUUUCAUGGAUGUUGUGUCAAUUCCAAAGACAAAUGAGAACUUUCGUCUCCUCUAUGACACUAAGGGCCGUUUUCGUCUCCACUCCAUCAGAGAUGAUGAGGCAAAGGUUUGUGUUCUAUUUUUGCAUAUGCCUACUGAUUUUGAUUAUACUUUAUUUCUGUAUCAUGCAUAUGACUGCUUGGCACUAAUUUUUUUGAAAUACCAAGAAUUAUAUAAGUAAAAUACUAAAAUUUUUGUUUUUCAUGUUUUUAUUUUGCUUGUAAGUGUUUUCAUUCAUGUUUUAAUGGUAUGCAGUUUAAGUUGUGCAAAGUCAGAUCUGUUCAGUUUGGUCAAAAAGGGAUCCCAUACCUGAACACCUAUGAUGGGCGCACCAUCCGCUACCCAGAUCCACUUAUCAAGGCUAACGAUACCAUCAAGCUAGACCUAGAGAGCAACAAGAUCACUGAGUUCAUAAAGUUUGAUGUGGGAAACGUUGUUAUGGUCACGGGAGGUAGAAACAGGGGGCGAGUUGGAGUCAUCAAGAAUAGAGAGAAGCACAAGGGGAGUUUUGAAACUAUACACAUUCAAGACGCCACUGGUCACGAGUUUGCUACUCGCCUGGGCAACGUCUUUACAAUUGGAAAAGGGAGCAAACCAUGGGUGUCUCUACCCAAGGGUAAGGGUAUCAAGCUGUCAAUCAUUGAAGAGGCCCGGAAGAGGCUUGCUGCUGCCCAAACUGUUGCUUAGAAAUUUAUGGAAAUUUGUGUGUUGCUGAAGUUACUGAUGUUGGCCUUAGUGUCAGUCUUUGCUUUUUUUAGCUACUUGUUUUGAUCUUACGCCAAACCAGUACUAGAGCUUUAUUUUUAUCAUCUAUGGGCACAAUUUUGAACUAUACUUGUUUUUGAAUGUCAAUUAGCUUUUCAUUGGUGAAGGUAGUCUGAAUGUUACUCAAAGCAUGAAUAGUUUGUGUUGGUGAAUAGUUUCAGGACCUGAGUUGUUUAAUGCAUGUAACUACCAUGGAAAACUUGGGCAUGUUGGUUACUCUGAUGGGCAAAUAGGGUCUAUGAUUAAAUUAUUAUUUCAUAAUUCAUGAGCUUUCUUAGACUCAACAGUU